GACGAACGCUGGCGGCGUGCUUAACACAUGCAAGUCGAACGGAAAGGCCCCCAUCUUGGUGGGGGUGCUCGAGUGGCGAACGGGUGAGUAACACGUGGGUGAUCUGCCCUGUACUUCGGGAUAAGCUUGGGAAACUGGGUCUAAUACCGGAUAGGACCAUGGUUUAGUGUCUCAUGGUGGAAAGAUUAUUGUUUUGGUGCAGGAUGAGCUCGCGGCCUAUCAGCUUGUUGGUGGGGUAAUGGCCUACCAAGGCGUCGACGGGUAGCCGGCCUGAGAGGGUGCACGGCGACAGUGUGACUGGGAUACUGCCCAGACUGCUACGGGAGGGAGCAGUGCGGAAGAUUGCACAAUGGGAGCAAGCCUGAUGCGGCGACGCCGCGUGGGGGAUGACGGCCUUCGGGUUGUAAGCUCCUUUCGUGAGGGCCGCAGCCGCACUUUUUUUGGGUGUGGUGACGGUACCUUUGUUAAGAAGCACCGGCUAACUACGUG
rnacentral:rRNA from 1 species